AUGAUUUUCGAUAUACUGCACGCAGCAGUGACUUUCAUCAACCUUCUGCCUCAACAAAAUGCACCAGCAGUGGGCAAGAUCCUUUCUACCCUGCAAUGUGAAAGUAAUAAGUCUAAUAAGCUUAGCAAAAAAUGGCAUCACAUUCAAUUGAUGAAUACAAUACCUCCCAACCCAGCGAAGGCAGGUUCUGAACAAAAAGAGAAAGGACACCCUCCUUGCAAAUUUCAAGGGCUAUCUGUAACACAUGAUCCUGGUUUGGUUCAACUUCUCCAUCACCAGAAAGUGUCUGUCUCAAGGUGA
rnacentral:rRNA from 1 species